rfam:Picea glauca, whole genome shotgun sequence.
GGCUAAUGAUGAAGAAAUUUGUCCGUACCAUCCGAGACAAUCUGUCGUUGAUGUUUAACCUCUAGCUUCCUGAGGCCA